AGAGCGAACGCUGGCGGCAGGCCUAAUACAUGCAAGUCGAGCGCACCUUCGGGUGAGCGGCGGACGGGUGAGUAACGCGUGGGAACGUGCCCUUUGGUACGGAACAACUGAGGGAAACUUCAGCUAAUACCGUAUGUGCCCUUCGGGGGAAAGAUUUAUCGCCAUUGGAGCGGCCCGCGUUGGAUUAGCUAGUUGGUAGGGUAAAAGCCUACCAAGGCUACGAUCCAUAGCUGGUCUGAGAGGAUGAUCAGCCACACUGGGACUGAGACACGGCCCAGACUCCUACGGGAGGCAGCAGUAGGGAAUCUUGCGCAAUGGGCGAAAGCCUGACGCAGCCAUGCCGCGUGAAUGAUGAAGGUCUUAGGAUUGUAAAAUUCUUUCACCGGGGAAGAUAAUGACGGUACCCGGAGAAGAAGCCCGGCUAACUUCGCGCCAGCAGCCGC
rnacentral:rRNA from 1 species